UGCGUAGCUGGUCUGAGAGGACGAUCAGCCACACUGGGACUGAGACACGGCCCAGACUCCUACGGGAGGCAGCAGUGGGGAAUCUUGCGCAAUGCGCGAAAGCGUGACGCAGCAACGCCGCGUGGGGGAAGAAGGCCUUCGGGUUGUAAACCCCUUUCAGUUGGGACGAAGCUUCGCCGGUUAAUAGCCGGCUGGAGUGACGGUACCUUCACAAGAAGCCCCGGCUAAC
rnacentral:rRNA from 1 species